UCGAGAAUCUUCGGCAAUGGGCGAAAGCCUGACCGAGCGAUGCCGCGUGCGGGAUGAAGGCCCUCGGGUUGUAAACCGCUGUCAGUUGGGAGGAAAUCCCUUGGGGCUAUCCCCUUGGGUUGACCUAUCUUCAGAGGAAGGACGGGCUAAGUUCGUGCCAGCAGCCGCGGUAAUACGAACCGUCCAAACGUUAUUCGGAAUUAUUGGGCUUAAAGGGUACGUAGGCGGCCAUGUAGGUGGGGUGUGAAAUCCCCCGGCUCAACCGGGGAACUGCGCCCCAAACCACAUGGCUUGAGGGAGACAGAGGUAAGCGGAACUGAUGGUGGAGCGGUGAAAUGCGUUGAUAUCAUCAGGAACACCAGUGGCGAAAGCGGCUUACUGGGUCUCUUCUGACGCUGAGGUACGAAAGCUAGGGUAGCGAACGGGAUUAGAUACCCCCGUAGUCC
rnacentral:rRNA from 1 species